UACCAUUGCAAAAUAUAUGUAUUUAGGUC
rnacentral:sRNA from 1 species